CUUUACAGGAAGUGUUUAGGAAGGCUGUGCUGAGUCACAUGCAGGGAGGUUUGACUAGUGUUCCAUAAAUAGAGUGAUUUAACGCCUAAAUGGCAGAGAAGUGAGAAAUGAGACUGAAGGGUCAUUAUCCAUAUACUGAAACUGCUCCAUGAAGCUAAAGUUGUUUUGGUGCCUAUAGUGUGCCUUUAAGUUUUGCCCUUGUUUUGUGCCAUAAUUCUGCCAUUUGCGAG